GGACUAAUUCGGAGAACUCGGUUAUACUUCAUCCGCUCUCAGGCUUUGUCGACGUAGAAAAGUUCAAGGGGUGUUUUCCUGUUUUCCCUUAGAGUUGUCCUGCCUAAUGGCCAACAAAUACUAUCCCGGUCUGGCAUAACAAUGAAUUCUUCGGGUCCUGUUUUGCAUUUAUUACUAGCUCAGUGGUAGAGCACUUCCCAGCAUAUACUAAGUCCUCAAUACAGGAAAAACAAAGCAUCAGCAAUAAAAUGUGCCCUCUCAGGGUCGGAUGUAGUGGCACUGGCCCUUAAUCCGGUAUUUGGGAGGCUGAGGCAGGUGGAUAUGUGAAUUCAAGGUUAACCCGGUCCACAAACUGAAUUCUGAGUAAGAUGGGCUUACAUGGUGAAACACUUGUCCAAAAAAAUUUUUAAUGUCUUCUCUGACUACUCUAAAUUCACUUUAUUGGCACCUGUUACUGGGAAAUUGCCUUUGCCAGUUGAGAAUGUCAAACUCUGGCAGGUUCAGGAACCCAGAUGGCCUUUGUUCGUAAUUUUAUUUCCAGAGCCUGGCGUGUACCACUGCUCAACAUUUAUUACACAGAUGAACAAAUAUUUCAGUGCCAGUCCGGCUCCACAGGCUAAUAGAAGUAAAAUGGAGAAAAGGUGCUGCGUCUACCUCGAACCUCCUGGUCUGUAUUGAACAACACUUCGGCAGUACCCAGGCUGAAAUGGCAGCCAGUUCCAACUAUCAGUUCUGCAGAGAGGCCCGUCCGUGGAUCACACCAGGUCACCCUUCGCAGCACCGCCUCCCAUCCUGGCCCAGUUUUCCUCUGUGUUCCAAGUUGGUAUUUGAUAAUCCGACCUCUCAGCUUCCGGCUCUUGCUGCCGUGCUCCGACCUCCAGUAUAUGUACUCACCUGGGACUGGAAGCCAAAAUAAACUCUUCCCUAAGACA